rnacentral:misc_RNA from 1 species
GAAAUGCGAUAAGUAAUGUGAAUUGCAGAAUUCAGUGAAUCAUCGAAUCUUUGAACGCACAUUGCGCCCGCCAGUAUUCUGGCGGGCAUGCCUGUUCGAGCGUCAUUUCAACCAUCAAGCCCCCGGCUUGUGUUGGGGACCUGCGGCUGCCCGCAGGCCCUGAAAAACAGUGGCGGGCUCGCUGUCACACCGAGCGUAGUAGCAUACAUUCUCGCUCAGGGCGUGCUGCGGGUUCCGGCCGUUAAACGACCUUCAUAACCCAAGGUUGACAUCGGAUCAGGUAGGAAGACCCGCUGAACUUAAGC